ACUGCUCAGUAACACGUGGCUAAUCUGCCCUUGGGACCGGAACACCCCCGGGAAACUGGGGCUAAUUCUCGAUAGGCGAAGAACUCUGGAAUGAGUCUUCGUCAAAAAGACGUUUACGUUAUGCUCGUAGGCGUCGCCCAAGGAUGAGGCCGCGACCGAUCAGGUUGUUGGUGAGGUAAUGGCUCACCAAGCCUUUUACCGGUGCGGGCCGUGGGAGCGGGAGCCCGGAGAUGGGUACUGAGACAAGGACCCAGGCCCUACGGGGCGCAGCAGUCGCGAAACCUUUGCAAUACACGAAAGUGUGACAGGGCUAUCCCGAGUGCCAUCCGCUGAGGAAGGCUUUUACCCAGUCUAGAACGCUGGGGGAAUAAGGAGAGGGCAAGUCUGGUGUCAGCCGCCGCGGUAAUACCAGCUCUCCGAGUGGUGUGGAUGUUUAUUGGGCCUAAAGCAUCCGUAGCUGGCUAGGUAAGUCCCUUGUUAAAUCCACCGAAUUAAUCGUUGGAUCGCGGGGGAUACUGCUUGGCUAGGGGACGAGAGAGGCAGACGGUAUUUUCGGGGUAGGGGUGAAAUCCUAUAAUCCCGGGAAGACCACCAGUGGCGAAGGCUGUCUGCUAGAACGCGCCCGACGGUGAGGGAUGAAAGCUGGGGGAGCGAACCGGAUUAGAUACCCGGGUAGUCCCAGCUGUAAACGAUGCAGACUAGGUGUUUGGACGGCCACGUGCCGUUCUAGUGCCGCAGGGAAGCUGUUAAGUCUGCCGCCUGGGGAGUACGAUCGCAAGAUUGAAACUUAAAGGAAUUGGCGGGGGAGCA
rnacentral:rRNA from 1 species